UGCCAACCCAAGACAUGCUUAUCGGACUUUAUGUAUUAACGAUUGGAAACCGUCGAGGUAUUUGUGCAAAUAGAUAUAAUAGUUGCGGAAACUCUCCAAAUAAAAAAGUAAACUACAAUAAUAACAAUUAUUAUAAGUAUACGAAAGAUAAAGAACCCCAUUUUUCUAGUUCCUAUGAUGCACUGGGAGCUUAUAGACAGAAACGAAUCGGUUUAAACAGUCCCUUGUGGCUCCGAUGGAAACUAGAUCAACGCGUCGUUGGGUCAAGAGAAGUUCCGAUUGAAGUUCAAUAUGAAUCUUUUGGGACUUAUCAUGAGAUUUAUGCCCACUAUCUGGUAGUGGGAAAUAGAAAAAAGGAAAUCCGUUCUAUAUACAUUCGAACCACUCUUGGUCAUAUUUCUUUUUAUAGAGAAAUAGAGGAAGCCAUACAAGGAUUUAGUCGGGCCUAUUCAUACACUAUCUAAACAAGGAAGUUAGAUUCGGCGAUGCCCCUUUCGGGGGGCAUUCCGAUUUCGCUAGUACCAUCUUUUUUGCCGCGCGAAUCCAGAUUGAGAUUGAGGAAAGGAAGUAAAUUAAGUUUUCGAAUCACUGACUCAGGCCCAUUGUCGAAUCCUACUCAGCAAUUGUCGAAUCCUACUCAGCCAAAAAAGGGGGUACUUAUGUAUGGCGGAACGGGCCAACUUGGUCUUUCAUAAUAAAGAGAUAGACGGAACUGCUAUGAAACGACUUAUUAGCAGAUUAAUAGAUCAUUUCGGAAUGGGAUAUACAUCCCAUAUACUGGAUCAAAUAAAGACUCUGGGCUUCCAUCAAGCCACUACUACAUCGAUUUCUUUAGGAAUCGAGGAUCUUUUAACAAUUCCCUCUAAAGGAUGGUUAGUCCAAGACGCGGAACAACAGAGUUUGGAGAAACACUAUUAUUAUGGGGCUGUACACGCGGUAGAAAAAUUACGCCAAUCCGUUGAGAUAUGGUAUGCUACAAGUGAAUAUUUGAAACAAGAAAUGAAUUCUAAUUUUCGAAUAACGGAUCCUUCUAAUCCAGUCUAUCUAAUGUCUUUUUCAGGAGCCAGAGGAAAUGCAUCUCAGGUACACCAAUUAGUAGGUAUGAGAGGGUUAAUGGCGGAUCCUCAAGGACAAAUGAUUGAUUUACCUAUUCAAAGCAAUUUACGCGAGGGACUUUCUUUGACAGAAUAUAUAAUUUCCUGCUACGGAGCCCGAAAAGGGGUUGUAGAUACUGCUGUACGAACAGCGGAUGCUGGCUAUCUUACACGUAGACUUGUUGAAGUAGUUCAACAUAUUAUUGUGCGUAGAAGAGAUUGUGGUACUAUCCGAGCUGUGAGUCCUCAAAAUGGGAUGACGGAAAAACUUUUUGUCCAAACACUAAUUGGUCGUGUAUUAGCAGACGAUAUAUAUAUUGGUUCACGAUGCAUUGCUGCUCGAAAUCAAGAUAUUGGAAUUGGAUUAGUUAAUCGAUUCAUAACUGCCUUUCGAGCACAACCAUUGGAAUGGCUGAUCAUUUCUUGUAUGAAGUUUUUAAGACCUCACUAAUCAGCCUUACACUUUUGAGUUCAUAAUGAAUAAUGAAUGAAAUGAACCCCCAGAUGAAGAGAAAAUAUCCCCUCCCUUUUACUAAACCAUGGGGAGCCCCGAGUAGUUUACCGGGCAAAUUUGGUUGUCGUGACGAUAUCUUUCUUAGUGGAAGAUCGGAAAAGACUUCUCUUCAUCACGAGACUGAUCGGAUCUGCCGUAGACACCCGAGACCUCCACAAACAAGGCAGGCAAAAAGAGUAAUAGGACAACAAGAGGAAAGAGUUAUGCUUUCAUUUCUUUGUUUAGAUUUCAAUUCGGCACUCGGUUCCUUCAUCUUAAGUAAAGUGAAGUUUACUUUUUCGAUUUUGAAUUCACCACAGCAUUUCUCCUUUUUUUCUACCCCAGGAUUUGUUUGGAUUUAUCGAAGCGUAUGUUGUAUGCCCUCCAUCCAUUCAUAAGCCAGCGUUGCCCUACCGAGACGAGAAAGGAGUGCGGAUAUUUCCAACGGGUCGAUUUAUAGGAGUGUACUUUAGCGAAGAGUUAAAGUAUGCUAAAUCAAUUGGUUCUACAGUGACUCCUUUAAGGGGUUAUCUAUUUUAAAAAGGGGAAGGGCUAUUUGAGCGGUUUGUAACAUCACUAUAUAAAGAUUGAGCGCCAAGAAAGAAGGAAAUGCAGGAUUAGCCUAUUUGUAUAAGAUUCUUAUGAACAGUCUUUAUGGUGGGUUUGGUAUCAACCCAAGGAGCACUAUAACUGAGAUCUGUAGUAAUGAGCGCUACAAGCAUGUGUUAAGGAAAAGCGGAUUUCUGUAUGGUUGUGGCAAGAGCUAUUCAUUUGUAGCUACUUUUCUUAUACUCAGAAAUCAGAUGAAUAUGCUGUUCCUCGUAAUGCAGCUGUCCAAAUAGCCGCUGCCAUUACAGCUUAUGCACGAAUCCAUAUGCACCCAUAUAAUAUAUAAGUAGAGAGGAUUGCUACUAUACUGAUACGGACUCUGUGGUGAUGGGUAAUCCACUCCCUGAGGAAUUAAUAUCCAAAGAUGAGUUGGGUAAGUUGAAAUUCGAAUAUAAAGUGAGGGAGGGAAUUUUCAACGCGCCCAAAAGCUAUUGGUUGGAUGCGGAGGGCGAAAAGGAUGUCUUGGUGCAGUUAAGAGCCAUGUUAGCAAAGAAUGGUUUAUCCAACAAUAUGAGGAUAAAUCUCUUACAAAAAUGGUAGUGGUCCUCCUUCCGUGUACAAUUGAAAACAUUAACAAUACGAAAGCAAGAAUCAUCAUUUAUACUGGGAAUGCCUUCCUCUACCAAAAGAGAAAGAGUUGAAGAUAACGAAGGAAAGUGGGUGGAUACAAAACCAGUUCAUAUCACUUGUCUUUCUGGUCUUUCCUCAUCGAAUACUAGUAAAUGCUUUCGAAGAGAAAAUAGAAGCACUAGAGAGCUCAAGUUCACUUCAUUCAUCACAAGAUGCAAAUGAUAAGAAAAAUGGAGCUAAUGAGGAAGAAAUCACUUCUACUUAAAUUUCAUUUAAAUAGUGAAAUACCAACCAACACAUCAAGCAAUAACCAGAUAGAUAGAAUGAGAACAGGUAAUACGAAGAUAUCAACACAGCCGGAGUCACGAGGCUCGAUAAUGACCAAUGGGUUAGGAUCUGAGGAAGCUUAGUUUGGAUGAUGGAAUAUUCGCAGUUCUGAUUGUUGAGAUACUGCAAAUCCACUAAUCCAACAAUUUCAGUCCAUUUUCCUACUUUUUCUGCAAGGGGUUCAAGGGGAAAGCAUUAGCCCUAUCCUUAAUAUGACUCUCUGUCACACCGGCUACUGGUUUAGCUUCUACGUUGAGGAGAUCCGCAUCGGAUAGGCCAACAAGACCAUCAAUAGCGUCUGCGAGAACUCUAACGGCGGGUAGGCAAACAACUUUAUUCAAUUCAUUAGCAUCUGGCUACUACUGAGAUGCUUAUCUUUCUUCGUUGGCUCCUCUGUUCAUGAAAGACCUGCUGACCUGUCCUGCCCAGUCACUAACUAGGUCUCCUAAAGGUACUUUGUUCUGCUUCUCAAAGAAAAGGAAGUUUUCUAAGAGCUCCGAGGGUGAAGCAUUAAUCACCGGUUUCGGUCAUGCCCUUGAUUCAGAUUUUUGGUCCCGAGAUGCCUACCUGAACGAUUCACAGCCCAGGUGGUUGGCAUCGAAAUUUUCUCUUUCAGAUGUCCUGCCCAUGAGUCAAAAAUCAAGUUCGAAUUGCUCUUGUUCCAUCAAUUCAGUAGGUUUGACAGUCUCACGAGUGCAUGCAGCAUGCUUCAAUUCUUUCUUUAUUGGAUUUGAUCCGUGCGUGGGACUUGCAUAACCACAACCGGAAGUCCUCCUGCUAUUCAAAAAACCAGCUUUUCAUUGCGGAGAUUUGAUACAUUGUGGUUGGUCACGUUGGUGAAUUAGAUGAGGUAUGGAAUUACCAUCUUUGACUGUGAAGUCAUCCAUCCAGACAUACUCCUUAGGUGAAAUAGCCAAACAUCUGAGUGAGUCAGUCUACCAAUGCCUUGUGACUCAUGACAGUAGUCCACCAGAUCCCUAGUUGCAGUUUUUGUCCUUUUGGAUACCACCUAUUUUCAUAUUGAAAAGAUUCCAGUACCUUCACCACAAACACAAGGCCUGCUGCUCCCUAAGUUGUAAAGUCGCCCGUUUGGUAAUCGGAGUGAAUCUAUACUUACUCAACUACUAACUCUGAAUGUUCUCGCUCUCGAAGGAUUUCUUUCUUUGCGUAUGAUGAUUGAGGCUCAAUUCCUUCCCGAAAGAAAAGAAUAGUAGACUGACAAACGUAUCUUACUCGUUCCCUCAACUGCUCGACUGAAAGAACUCUUAGUUCUCAUUCUGUUCUUUCUUGUUUUUUCAGGAUCCAGGAAAGACUUUCUUUAAAAAGAGGAAUCCAGAUGGAUAGAUUGUGAAAUAGAGUAUCUCCUUCGAUUGAAACAUCAAGGAUGAAAUAGUGGACUUCUAACCGAAUGAUUGAUGGAAUUCAGGUGCGAUUCCUAGUAUUCAAAUAAAAGAAUAUUAGAUUACAUAUAAGUUCUUCGUGUUCCUACUCCAUUCUAUUCUCUGUCGGGUCAGGAAGAUAUUGAUCAGUGCCGGCAUCUAUAGCUGCCAAUGAGAUGUGGGCUAGGGAUCAUCCAUGAAGGUCGACUUUUUGAGGUCGUUGGUCGAAAUCAGCAGUGUCAUCAUCAACAUCAAAGCGGAUCUAAUCUCCGUGUAAGCACGAGGCUUGCCUUGCCUUCAGAAGUCAGUGGCGAUCCUAAUGUCGAGGGCGGGGCGGCCUACUUUCUCCUCUUCAACCUGCGUGGAGUCGGGUCCGCCUAACUGAUGUGGAGGAUUGUACUCUUACUCCACUUACAAGUUGAGGAGAGAGAUUUCCGGCUUGACUUUGACCGACUUGGCUUUGGCCCUUUGAUCAGCUUGUCUUUGACCGCUUUGACCUUGACCGGCUUGACCUUUGAUUGCCCGAUUCGAGAGUGGAAGCUAAUUCAUGGGUUUGCUUGGAAGACUGCCCUUCCUCUUUUUAAGCUUGGCAGGAGUCGGAAACACACUUGACUCACCAAAUCAAGCAACAGGAGAAGUAAAUCUAUAACAGUUGAUCGUAUUUGCUCCCUUCCGGAUAUGCGAUGCCUUGGGAAUGCCGGAGUUGACAGGUGCAACAGUCCGACCUCAGGGAGGAGAAAAAACCAUUCCAGCACGAAGAUAGGCUACACUAAAAAAGCGUAGGCCCUAGGUGAAAAACAUGGUACGAAAACGGUUACAUUAGUGGAGUCAGAUCCCGAUCAGAGCGGCCUCAUCGAAAUAAACAUAUCCAAGAAGGCAGGCACACGACUGGAUAUCAAAGGUGGGGCUCGAAGCUGCCAUCUCCAACUAGUUGGUUGAAUUCUUUAAUCGACAGGUGAGGCGGAAAGUAGGUAAUCGCAUUCCGAAGCAAGGAGUUAGGAUCGACAAAGCACCAUUUCCUCCGCUAUGUCUCGCUCUUCUAUCAAGUGAAGAGCUCGCUGUAGCUGAACUGGAAGGCUACCAAAGGGCGCUAACCCUGUCUUUCCCAAAAAGUAUCGUCUUGUUUACUUUCCCUAGGGAGGACAAAGAUUAACCAAUAGUAGUCCCGAGGAUUGUAUGAGCAAGGUCCGAACUGUUUCUAUUAGUAGCAACAUGAGGAGCCCCGAAGGGAGAAUAAGAAAGAUUAACCGACGCCGCGUUUUCAGAAGAAGCAAUUGGAUAAGAAUCAUACGCUGUGAAUGAGCAGACGAAUCGACCGAGGGCUUACACACAAGAACAGAACCUAACUCUACUUCUUUUUCCUCCUCUCCUCUUUACUGCCCCCGCUAUCCUAUCAACAGGUCAGUCAAUAUCUGUAGUGGAGAAAGAAGAGUAGCCCCCCAGGUCAUCAAUUAGUAAUAGAAUAAUCCCAGUAGUAGUCCUCUUGCCUAGCGGAGUCAGCCCUUAAUGGGCAGACCAAAGAUUGGACAUCGUUGUCUAAGCGUGCUUGCUUUGCACACCGGCACAGCUGAAUGAGAAUCCGCUGGCUCAGAUUGAGUGGCUCACUUCCUUGAGAAGGGCUUUCUAUAACUAAGAAAUGAGAAUUGUUGACCCAUAUGAUCUCAGGCUCAUAAAGAGGAUGAAACUGAUAAUUUCAUUCACACUUUGAGAUUGAGCUCGUCAGUGAUCUUUUCCAAGGUGUCUAGAGAAACCUGCUUUGAACAUGACAUUCGUACCCAAGGAAAGUUUUGGCAGGCAUUACUGUGAUCUUGAAGCCCUUGCUAGGAGCUAGUCGGUACGGCUCACUACUAAAGAAGGUUCUGGCAUGCUUCGACUUAUCCCACUGCCCGCUGAUAUGUACAUGGCAAUAGAAGACUAUACCCACUUUUUCGGGGAAGGUUUUCAAAAGCGCUUCAUUGUGUGACGAGUUUAGACGAGUAAAUAGGCAGGCCGAAGGCGGCUUACUAAGCGAGAAGGCUCCAAGCAGCCUAAUAACGCAUUAGAAGGGAGCUUGCAGCUUUGCAACCUAAGCGGUAUAGCUAAGCUUACUCAUCAAGGGCCGAUAGAUAGAGCAGCUCUUGUUGCUAAUGGAGAAAGAUUGGAGUGAAGUUUAGUAUGCUUUCUAAGAUCAGAGGAGGAAAAGAAUGAAGGUGUGGGCGGGAAGGAGGAGGCAAGGCCCCCUCAAUGUGUAUUCGACUACUCAUUACGGAACCACCGAUUGAUCCGAUUAGACUUCCCGCGGGGUAGCACGGGGAACUUGCUGAAUCAACUCCUUGGAAUCGGAGGCCUGACUGAGGGUCAAUCCUAUGGUAACCUCAACCUAGGAAUGCCUGUUUCACUUCCUUGACAGAGCCAACUGAGAUGCUCUGUCUCGAUGUUGACCUAACAUGGAUUGAUUAGAAAUUCUGAAGGGUCUCAUCCUGAUCUCGCAAAGGAUCAGCAAUAGCUGUGUGUACUCGAGGACUCUUAGGGAAAGAAAAGCACUUUUCUCUCUCAGCAGUUAGACCGGCUAUGGGCGGGUUGGUUAUAUACUGCGCCUUCCUUCUUUCGAACCUUUUGGUAUGUAUUGCCCCCUAACUAUAGAUCAGAUCCACCGGACCAGAAACUCAAUUCCGCACUGCUGCUGAGUCGUCGGACUUAUCCACCUCAGGGAUUCGUGGAAUUUCCGUUUUUGAAUUGCGUUGGGGGAAAUCUACCAAAGCUAGGCAGAUAGAUAGACUCCUUUCCCGCUGCUAAGGGAGAGCAAGAAACUAAAUCACAUGAUUGUUUUUUUCACCAGCGCCCUUUUUUUUGCGGGUACUAAGAGUCCUCUCACUACCAACCAGCAGACAUCAUCAUCUGGCUGGGUCUUGCCGGUAUCAACAACGAGAAAGAAGAACCAAAUGGAAACAGCAACUAACUAUGGCUCUUGGCCCAGACAACGUCCUAGGCGUAGGGGAGAUAAAAACAAGAAGUCACGCCUAGACGACGACGCCCGUCCUGGGCUGCAGUAAGUAGAUCGAGAGGUCGUUCCGCCCCUUGUCCCCGAAGAUGGGUAAUAUGUUCUCAUACAAUGUUGCUCCAACUUUUUUCUAGAGGGCCUAGCUGGCGAGCGAUCCCAGUCCGCGGCGGAGAACAAGACAGCAAGCGAGCGUACCUUUGUUCGCUUCUUUUCCACCAAGCACAGAAGUUUAAGGAGAACUGUAGGUCGGUGGCUACCUAAGGAAACUCCGAUUCGAUCCGCCCCCCGGCUGGGAGGCAUCUACCUCAUCCCGAUCACAAGGAGAGGUUCACCAUGAUGGGGGGUCAGGUACUUGAAUUCGAUUCGUUCCGGAAAGAAUUCAAUGCAUAGGGGACCAUCCUUUUUUUUGCGGCAUGCUCUCUGAUUUACGGAUUCGCAGGGGGCCGAGGGCCAACCUUAGUUGACUGACAAUGACAAAGGCUUGCGAAACAAAGUAGCGCCUUUGAAAUGGAAUCUUAAUUAAGUAGUCUAUCAGUGGUGCGAAGCAGCUUUGCCCCGGGGAGCGAAAGGUUAUACCUUUGUAAGCGAACAGCGGUUCUUCUAUGUAGGGUAUUCCUCCUUUACUCUCUUAAUUAACGUCGAGCUAAGUGACUUCGUGUAGCGUAGUAGAAUGAAGGCUACGUACGCACCGACACUCUCUUAUCCCUAAGCCUCUUCUCUAACUCGCUCGCCUACAAAAAAAAAUAGUAGGCGAGGCUAGGCAAACUCAGCCGCUGACUUUGACUGUACUGUAGUAGACUUUCGUCGCCUUUUCUUUUAUAACCCUUUCUCAUGUUCUUUCAUUCAUCAAGUAGGCGAACCGUCAGGUCCUUAGUAGCGUUGACAAAGAAGAAGAGCCGGUGAAAAAAAAGAAAGCUAGAAUUUCCAAUAGUGAGACCAGCUUGACAAGCUACCUUUCCUCUUGAUCUGGGGUGCGAAGAUAAUUUUUUAUGACUUCCACUUCUCGAUCCCGGCCCGGAAAAGUGACCGACCCCUUGAUGAAUGAAAGAAAGGGUUUAUGAGCCCUAGCCCUGUAAGCCCACACCUGUGUAGAGUAGAUCGUUCAACACCUGCGGCACAAACCCAUUUUUGACCAAUUGGUCCGUAUAUCAUAGGCGACCGAACGGCCGCCCCCCGUCUUACUAGACCAACCAGCUAUAAUUAUUCCAUAAACACCUAGCGAAGAUAUGGCAAACAAAUAAAGUAGCCCUAUGUUCGGAUCUGACAAUACCAUACCAUAAUCAAAAGGUACAACGGCCCAAGCGACCAGACUUAACAUAAAUGUAGCCACUGGAGCCAUUCUAAAAAGGGAGAAAUUAGCACUACUUGGUGAAAUAGGUUCUUUUAGAAUCAAUUUAAAACCAUCUGCUAGAGGUUGUAACAAUCCGAACGAUCCCACUACAUCAGGACCCUUUCGACGUUGCACAAAAGCCAUUACUUUACGUUCAGCUAGCACUAAAAAGGCUACUCCUAGUAGAAGUGGUAGAAUUAAACAAAGUAUUUCCGCUGGAACAGCUAUGUACGUUUUAGAUUUUCUAUUCACUCAUGAUCGGGCCUGACCUGGUCGACCCGAUCAAACUAUUUCACUUAUGAUCUGGCCUGGUUGACCCAAUCAUGAUAUUGAAGGAUGGGACCUUUUCUCGAUAAACUCCGGAUCCCGAGAAGUUUUGAAGAUGGUGCUCCUGUUACGUUACUUCGAAUGGAAUCCUCACUUGACUAAGCAUAAGCGAAAAACGUGGCUGAGAGUAAGCAAUCCCCUUUCCUAGUGGUUGAGUCAUGAUCAGAAAUAUUGCGAAAGAAAGUGAAAUGUCCUAUCGUCGUCCCAAUUUGGGUAAUCCACGAUGUCUUCAUUUUAUGUACCCAUCUUUACUCGUUUUCGGUGUAUCGAUAGUUCGUUGUACUACACUUUGAACUAACCUAGAGGCCGUGCUUAGGCAAAAAUCGAUAUCAGUGAAGUAAUCCCGGAACUCUAGAAAUCGUGAAGAAUUUCUUCCAUUUUGUUCAAUAUCGCGAAUAUAGUGGAAAAGGGCCCCCUCUAGAACAUUCCUUUGAAUGGAAUUGUUCAUUAGGUUCGACUUGUUGUUCAAAAAAAUCGAAAGCAGUCUCUCGUAUGUUAUUGUAAGGUGAUUCAUUCAUAAUAUUUAUUAUGUGCGGUUUCAAGAUGCUCAAAAAGUAGAUUUUGUAAUCGGCUUUUGAGCUCCAUUAUGUGUACUUCAUCAAUUUAGGAAUUAUGGACUUGGCGGUAGUGGUCAAUACUAACUGCACCGUCUAAAUGCUCCCUGACCAAGUUAGCGUACUCGCCAGGGUUGAGUUGAGGGGGCAGCCCGUGCGCUAAUUGGGCUUCGAGGUUGGCUAUACGCGAAAAAGCUCGCUUUCUACUGAGGCCUGUUCUGUCCUAAACAGUUCCAGAAUGUUAUUUGUUUCAUAGGAAGAUUCCAAAAGCACAUUGAUGCCGAAAGAAUCUUCGGAACCGGUGGAGAGGCUAUUCUGAUUGAAGGCUAGACAAAUAACAUGACUGAGGUAUGUAAAUCAAACCAGUGAAAUAGCUUUAUAAUAUUAUAUAGAUAUAGAAUAUAAAAAGCAAAAGCCUGAUAAUGGGUUUCAAAAGAAGAAAAGAAAAAAAAAGAUUUUAGCUUUCUUUUUUUUUUGUGCGUGCUUUUCGCCUGCCUUCCCGACCACGGAUAGGCUACGGGGCUUUGCACUUCGGCCCCCUUUAAUACCACAUCAAGGUGACAGGAUUCGAACCUAUGGCCCUCUGUACCCAAAACAGAUGCGCUGACCAGACUGCGCUACACCUCGUCUCCCCCCCGGAACAUAUGGUAUGGAUCUACCCGAUCGAAAAAGACUCGAACCGCAGUCGCCCACCCCGCGGCACAGGGAGGCGAGAACCACCGCUUUUAGGAAAUAAGCCUACAAUUUGAUUCUCGUCUCGUUUCACUUGCAUUUUCUUUCGUUCAGUCUCGCUCUCGUUCAUGAGUGGAAUCGAACCACUUACUCCGUUUGGAUUUACAGUCCAAAGGGCCCAGGCCCAGCGAACGAAAGAGGAUUUACAGUCCCACGCCCACUGCCCUGCAAGAACCAUUUUCUUGCUUGAUUUUUAUACGAUUUUUUGAGCAACUAGCGCGAAAGCCGUUGCGCUAACGCGCAUUCUCCACCACACCAUUUCUAUACGCAUUUUCAGAGGAGCAACAUGAGACUUGAUUUUCCUUUACAAGAUGGCCAUCAAAGAUUAGCAAAGCUAUACCAAAAAUAGGUUCACGUAAGAAAGUGCGUAUUGGUUUGCGUAGGAAUGCCCGUUUUAGUUUACGGAAGAGUGCACGUAGAAUAACAAAAGGGGUUAUUCAUGUUCAAGCCAGUUUCAACAAUACCAUUAUAACCGUUACAGACCCACAAGGUCGGGUGGUUUUCUGGUCCUCCGCAGGUACUUGUGGAUUCAAAAGCUCAAGAAAAGCAUCACCCUAUGCUGGUCAAAGAACAGCAGUAGAUGCUAUUCGUACAGUGGGUUUGCAACGAGCAGAAGUUAUGGUAAAAGGUGCUGGUAGCGGAAGAGAUGCCGCAUUACGAGCCAUUGCUAAAAGUGGUGUACGGUUAAGUUGUAUACGCGAUGUAACACCUAUGCCGCAUAAUGGAUGUCGACCCCCUAAAAAAAGACGUCUGUAAAAAAGUGAAACCGCUUUCAAGAGAAAUAAACGAUUCAAUGAUCAAAUAAUAAUACUAGUCUGUUAUGGUUCGAGAGGAGGUAACAGGAUCCACCCAAACACUAGAGUGGAAGUGUGUUGAAUCAAGAGUAGAUAGUAAGCGUCUUUAUUAUGGUCGUUUCAUUCUGUUCCCGCUUAGAAAAGGUCAAGCGGAUACUGUCGGUAUUGCCUUGCGAAGAGCUUUACUUGGAGAAAUAGAAGGAACAUGUAUCACACGCGCCAAAUUUGGGAACGUGCCACACGAAUAUUCUACAAUAGUAGGUAUUGAAGAAUCCAUACAAGAAAUUUUACUAAAUUUGAAAGAAAUUGUAUUGAGAAGUAAUCUCUAUGGAGUUAAAGACGCAUCAAUUUGCGUCAAAGGUCCUAGAUACAUAACCGCUCAAGAUAUAAUCUUACCGCCUUCCGUAGAAAUCGUUGAUACGACACAACCUAUAGCUAACUUGAGAGAGCCCAUUGAUUUCUGUAUUGAGUUACAGAUCAAGAGAGAUCGCGGAUAUCAUACGGAACUCAGAAAGAACUCUCAAGAUGGAAGUUAUCCUAUAGAUGCUGUAUCCAUGCCUGUUCGAAAUGUGAAUUAUAGUAUUUUUUCUUGUGGGAAUGGAAAUGAAAAACACGAGAUACUUUUUCUAGAAAUAUGGACGAAUGGAAGUUUAACUCCUAAAGAAGCGCUUUAUGAAGCUUCUCGUAAUUUGAUUGAUUUAUUUCUUCCUUUUCUACACGCAGAGGAAGAGGGCACUAGUAGCCUUAUCACGUCAGGUAGCUUGCUAUCCGAACAACUACGAUAUAUGCCGCUUCGCUACAACUACUACGCCUAUGGGCAAAGAUCACUUGAAGAUAGAGAGUCAUGGGCAUCUAUCAAGUACUGGAGGCAAGCUCGUCAACUAGUACAUAGCCAUAGCAUAGCUAUGAUGAGUCCAAGGUUUACGCAUCCUAUUUUCGCCAGCAUAUCUUCUCAAUCAGCUUCCGAACAAGACGACCCAGCGCAACACUACUACGCCCUAUUGCAAGCGUUGUCAACAAUACAUUAGGAAUGUGAGGCAAGCAAGCAUGGCACAGGAAUCUAUUCUAUAAGAUUGGUAAUAGUGUCUGUGUACUAGGAGAACAGGAUAUGUUAUGAGAAGAGUGACGUGGGAAUAGAUUGCAUUUCAAAAAGAAUCUAUACACUCAAUAAGCCAGAACGGGAAGAUUCAACUGCAAAAAGAACUGGUACGGUGUGAGAAGAGGCCUAUUCUCAAUAAUGAACAAGAUGAUGCAACUCUAGUUGCUGGAGGCAGAGGACGUGGACGCGGCAGGAAUAGAUCCAGGGGGAGGACGCGAAUAAAAAAGGCUAUGAGGAUCAUAAAAAUUGAGGUGGAGGGAUAAUUUUUAACUAAGGAUCGAGUAGAGGAAGACGUCAGUCUUUCAGUUGUAGAUGAUCAUUUACCGAAAAAGAUGUACAUUCGAAUGAAAAAAGAGGGCCUGCCCGAGAGGAAAUAAAGAAUAUUCAUUUGCGGAUUCUUCCGAACAAGCAACGGGUUGAGCAACUAGCGCGAAAGCCGUUGCGCGUUUUGGUUUGCUUUAUCCGCCAUAGUAGAAAGAAUAAGCUGCUUCUUGUUUAGGGCGGGCUAUCUUGACUCUUGAGCCUGAGAGGGAGAAGGCUUCCCGCGUGGGCGGAUUAGCAAUCCCUAGUCUUCCAUAACGCGUAUUGGACUUAUGUUUCCUCCUCCUCGAAGAUGAUGGAUCUAUCUGGUCACCGAAGCUAAAUGGACCCGAGCUGUUGAUGACCGAAUAGAAAGGUUGAUUUUCAAUGGCAAGUCCUAGAUGAUGUAGGCUUUGCUUAUCCUGGCCAACCACAAAGUACGCAUCUCAUGUGCAAAGAGACGAUCUUCCGUCAUAGACUAUAAUAAAUAGUAAAUGGACCGAUCACCAGUUUAUUGGCUCGUUCAUUCACUCGCUGGGUAAGGAGGCUGUGACUUACAAGAUGUCAAAGGGAAAGUAGAACUUCUUCGGUAAAGGGCUUUAAGCGAGUAGGGGUAGCUGAUACUACGGCAGGGAUUCGCGAAGAGCAACGCCUUACGAUGUUCAUGACCAAUUGGUCAGCAUCUAGCAAGAAAAUGGAUGCGUGUUAGCGCCGUGGCUUUAUGCCCUUUCUACCUACAUCGAUAAUAGUGGAUUCAGCAGGAACUUAAACAACUCAUCAUUCAUUUCUCGAUCAAUUUGAAACCUUUUUAAAAAAAAAGUCCUUCCAUGAAUCUAGGGAAGGAACUCUGACUUCACCAACUCUUCCUUUCUUUGCUCGAAGGCUUCAGGUCAAGAUCCUUUUUCCUAUCUAUUGAAGAUGCUUCUUCCUCUUCAAGUUGGAAGUGCAAGAAGAAAUGCGGUAAAGCGGUAAAUAGGAGUUCCAUCUACCACGCACUCGCCCCACACUCCAGCGAACUUCAGCAUCCAUACUCAGCUAGGAGGAAGGUGCCGGGGACACUAUGAACACACAUGUACUUGGUUGACUUCACGUCCCGUCUCACAACCGGGUAAGAUCAAAUAAACAAACAGCUUGCUUGCCCAAUCCCUAUUGAGAGGAUUUCUUGAGCUUGAACUUCCUUUUGUAGCUCCGCUCACAGGGACUUCUUUUCAUCCGCACUACAACAAUUUGAAGAAAUCCGCAAGUGACUAUAAUUUGAAUUCACUAGUCGUGUUGAGUUGAGGCUUAUUUCAAUAUAACAAAUCUGCCAAUCCCGAUAUUCCCACAUUUCAUUCUGGUCCAGUGUCCAUUCCUGAAUGAAAGAAAUGAGCUUUUUUCUGCGCCCCUUCACUCACUUCUGAAUGACUCCUUUAGCACUCCUUUUUUUAUAUAAAAAAAUAGAUACAGUUUACCUUUACCAUACCUUCCCAAGCAAGAGUGUUUUUGCAAGCUUUUUUAUAGCAGCUUCCUAGGGCUGGGCAGCAAGUCUCUUAUCCAUAUUGAAAGCAGAAGUUUGAAAGUUUUGAUAACAGGUUCUAUGAAAAGCUAGCAAUCCUGUGAGUUUUCCAAAAGUGAGGCUAACAAUAGCUAUUAAGUCUACUCUUAUGGAGAUGAUUGAGUGGAAGUUGGAUAAGGAUUGGAGUCGGAUAGGGUGGGAGUAGGUCCAGCCGAGAGGGCCAUAGGAGUGGUCCGGACGAGCUUACUCUUAGCCAUUGGAAGUAGUUGCUGAUGGAAAAGUCAGAGUUGCUUAGGUUUAGUGUUAACUAUUAAGUUUUACUCUAAGUUGAAAUUCAAUCUUUAGAAAUCACAACUAGAGGGUUAGUACUUGGAUCGAACUCUCGGCUUUGUUUGGGGCAUUUUUUCUACCUUGGGUGACCUAAGGAGAGAGAGGGAUCAUCAGUCUGAGCUAUGGUUCCUGCAUCGAAAGGAUUCAAAUAACGUACCAGAAUAUGUACAGAGGCAUCUUCUUUAUCUCUCUAUAUGGGAAGAAUUACGGUCAAGGACUUACCUUUUCUUUCUGAGCUCAUUCUUUUCUUCCCCAGUACUGUGCAUUGGAUCAAUUAGAACUACAAAUGUGCUUCAUCUUUUGUAGGUUCUGGGAUUGCUAUUCUAUUUGAAAGAGGAUGGAACGUUGGACAUACGAGUGCCCUUCGAGCGAUGGAGGAACCGCCUACACAUCCCCACCUUAAUAGCUCAAUUGCAAAAGGAAGAAAAAGAAAUCAAUCUGACUAACCUCUCUCUCAGCAACAUAUCAGCUUUCUAGCAUGCAUAUUUGAGAGUUACAUUGCAGGAGAAAAGAUCAGCUAUACUUUUGUUGUUUGAAUAAAAAACAAUUAGCCACACUUGUUUGAAUCCUUUUGUAUCAACCCAUAAUUUAGCAUCAGGAUCCAUGAUUCUUUCCCUUGAUAAAAAGAAAUUCUGUCCUCUCGAGCUCCAUCAUGUACUAUUUACUUACAAAGAACCCAGCACAAAUUCGGUUUUGGAAGAAUAGAACAAACUAUGUUGAGCCAAGAGCAUCUUCAUUACUAUGGAAAAUGAUGGAUAGCAAAAUCCACAAUCGAUCAUGUCCUUCAAGUCGCACGUUGCUUUCUACCACAUCGUUUUAAACGAAGUUUUACCAUAGCAUUCCUCUAAUUUCAUUUCAAAGUGGUAUAGGGAAUUGAUCCAAUAUGGAUGGAAUCAUGAAUAGUCAUUGGUUUUGUUUAGUAUUUUGUAUACUAAUUAAAACUUGCUAUCUGUGGAUAAAUAAGUAUUUAUCCGGGGAAGACUCAGCAAGGAUCCAAUUUAUUUAAACCCAUAUUCUAUCAUAUGAAUGAAACAUAGUUCAAAAAAGACAAAUAGCAAAGUCAAUUGAAUUUUUAAUAGACCACUAUGCUAGGCAUUGAUCCCAUUUAAUUCAUUGCUUUCGUUGUGUUGUGUUACCAACAAACGUACCUUCACUCUUAUGCCGCGUGGAUUGCUCUCCCUUUGCUUGGCGGUACUUCUCUAGCCAAUGACCCAGUGGACUAUCCAUGUCAAGAUCGACCGAGAGGGGUUCAAAAUCAUUUAAGUUGACAGCCCUCUUGACUGUUUUUAUUACCCAAUUUGCCGUGAUCGGGUGUUUGAAGUGAGUCGGGUUUUCGCACUCUGUGCGAUUCGGUUGUCGGAGUCUUAGGUGAUUCAUCAUUCCUUAGAAGCAGCUUCUUUCGCAAUCGAGAACUGUCAUGAACAUCUGGAUGGGAGCGGUCAGCGAGAGUUAAUUAUUGGGGACAACAGGGCGAUCCAUAUCUCUUGCAGAAAACAUGUUCAGUGGGCCUCUGCCAUUGCAGCAUCUUGUUAGUUUCUCUGCAGAAACCAACCAGCUCUGCUAGGGAAACGACCCCGGAGACCAGCCUGAUAGACUAUAUCUAUGAACUUCAAAUAAGUCCCUACUUUCCUAAUAAGGGUACUGGCUCGCGAGGAGAAAAAGAAUGGCCCUACAAAAUGACUCUCCUAAAAUCAAUGUCUGGAAGUCCUUUUAAGAUGGGUUAAUAUAAGAUAUGCUAUGCUUAACACUUAGGCUUAGCAAGAGGGACUGGCGCGUGAGACCGAGAUCGCCAUAGAUUGAUUGUGCAGGCAGGUAAUACUCAUUUUAACUAGAGAGAGGAUAUUAUACAAGAGUACUGGUUAUAGUCACACUCCCAAACUCCCGAGAAGUCUUUUUUACUUAACUCUAGGACUUGCUAUAAGGAUGGAUUGCUUUUACCCUAGAACCCUCUAUCCCGAUCUCGAAUUGCGCUUGGCGCCCCCAGGUUGGGCACAAACCCAGGUAGCCCCUAAACCCGGGCUCAGUCAAGAGCGGCAUCUGAAUCCCGCUGCAAUCCCUCCUGCGCUGGUGGAGAAAAAGGGGCAAAAUCUCAGUGGCCGACCUAAUAUGUUGGCUCCACUACCCGAAUCUAUUCCCCUUAAUCCUCCAAGCCAAUCAAUGCCCCAUACCCUUAUCAUGGUCAGUCUCAUCUUUAGUGACUCCCGUGGUAAGGGGUCGAGGGAAGUGGUGUGGUGGGCCCCCUCACUUUUUUUGGAAAGAAGACAGGACCAACGAUAAAUUCUUUUGAAUUUUUUUAAGAAAUCUUCAGAAGAUGUCUCUUCUAGUAAGAAUAGAGAAGAUGUCUCAUCUAGUAAGAAUACACUUAUUUGUGAUCCUCCCUCUGUGACUGCUAUUCCUAUACUAUCAGAAAGUAGACUAUCCUAAGAUUCGGGUUGCGAUCCUCAAGGAAAUAAGCUUGAAUCUCAAAAAUACUAUUAGAGUGGGGAAACUUAUAGCUACCUGCUCUUUCAUUGAAAUGAACGAAUUACUGCCAGUAAUCUGAGAAUUCAUUGGUUCAAGGUGAUGACACACCGCCUUUUGGCUUGGUUCAAGCCAGCUUUCCAGCUAUCCAAUUACCGUGAGAGCUCUUGGACUGUUAGACCAAGUAAAGGUAUUUGUCCCUUCCCCUUACGAGCCUGUGGGUGAAAGUGCCCCUCCAAUUGCACAAGUCUCUCCAGUCCCAACAAGGGAAAAUCAAUCCAGUUAGCCAAUUUUUGAAAGCUUUUAAAAGUGCUUUACUAAAUAAAGUUCUCUUUCGGCCAUUGAGCAAGAGCAAGUAUUCAAGCAGGAGUAGAAAGCUUCGAUGCAUUGGAAGUUCGUUCUUCUACCUGCGAGUUCUGUUACAGCAAUUGGGAGUACCCUUUUCACCGCAAGUUCUCUUACAUUUAGUAAGCCAGCGGCGAGGGUGCCAACUCUUACGAGAUCUCACCCCGAUUAUAGUGAGUGCUUAUCCCUUGAUCUUCCCUUGGAGUGCCAAUUGUAUAAGAAAGUCUUAAGCAAGUAUAUUGAAAAUCUUAAGCUCAUCUAGUGCCAGUGCACGUCACUCUAUUCCCUUAGGGAAGCAGGUCAGCAAGUGGGACUUUAGGUAAGAAAGAAUCGUUCUAUCUGGACUCUUUCUAUAGGGUGUCGCAUUCAUUCCUCAUGGGAGUGUAGGAUUCCGAUUAUCUAUAGUAUUAGUACCCAUAGCGUAGAUCCUCGAAAUCUUAUUUUUUUAGAUGAUAUGGUGUACUCUCCAGUCUGGGGAUAUGCUAUAGUAUAUUGCACUGGACCAAUGCUCUUUACAACCCCGGAGUAAUACCUAUGUCUAGUGGCAGUCCCUGUUAAAGUGGCCAUAGGGUGACCGUAUCAGGCCAUUGACAAUUAGUAUAUACUACUUUCAUUGCUCCUCUUGGCAUUCUAGGAGGAGGGCCAUUUCUACUUCCAUGGAACCAGUUGUUCCUGCGAUUCCAGUCUGUUACGGUGCUGGUAAAAAGGGGGUUUUAUGGACCAGUUCUUUCUCUUACUUUCUUAGUAGCGGAUCCAUCAUGGAAAGAAGGAAACUUUCAUCCGGCGUACCUCGUGUGACUUCUAGCUGUGCCUACCGAGUCAAAGAACCUGCUUCAACGAAUAAUAGAAGGUAUCAGAAACCCCAUUAACCCUUAGCUGAUCCUGAAGCCACGGUUCUUGCUCCUAGGUACAAAUCUAUGGUGUAGCACCGCCAACAGUGGACGAGCGCCUACAUCGAUCUGUCUCCCGACAGGUUUCUUUUCAAUCAACACAAGCAGCAGGCGUAGCUUUUCAUUCACUCGCUCUAAGCACGGGAAUAGAAUAAAGGUAUGGGUCCCCCACCUUACCAUCCGUUCUGUCAGACCAAUUGCUAAAGUAUUCGAUUUGAGUGUCCACAAUCAGGAGAUGGGCCUUUCUCAAAUUGAACAGCCGGUAUUGUGGCAUUCGGAUCUGUCUUAUUGACCGGCUUUGGUCGAGCAACCGCUGCAUUUCUUGAACGGCUACUGCCUACAUAACUUGUCUUCCUCUUUUCAAGGAAGUUAGUCUCAGACCAUAUGUAGUUCUCGGCCCCUUUUGUUAGACCAGUUCCUUUCGGUGCUGAGUUCCUUACUGCCCUGAAACUGUACUGAAGUGGCUUCUUCACUCCAGCACAGAAGUCUAGUAUUCUGGUGAGUCCGAUUUGUUUAAUGUGGACCCUCUACUCACUUUUGAAUAAUGAAAUUCGAAAUUUCCAUCCCUCAUGGAUCAUCGAACGAAGGCAUUCGUUUCGGAUGAUUUCCCGCACCUGGAAGAAGAAGAAUAAGAAAAAGUAGACAAAUUUUUCGUAACACCGUGGGGUGUUCAUUUUAUUUUCUUUUUUUAUCAUUUGUAUUGACUUUGAUAGUUGGAAGUUCUCCAAAAGUAUGAAAGGCUGGAGGGCUUUGUACCAACCAUUCUAGUGUGGUUGGAUUCUGUUCAACAGCCCAAGGACUUUCCGCACAUCUUUUGUUCUUUCCACUGCUUGAAGUGAUUGCGACAACUACGAAGAAACGACGAAUCCCAACUACGGAUAUAUAAGAACCGAAACUGCUCAGAGCAUUCCAUCCGGCGUAAGCAUCUGGAUAAUCUGGAAUGCGACGUGGCAUACCCGAAAGCCCUAAGAAAUGCAUGGGAAAGAAGGUCAGAUUAACCCCGAAAAAAGUGAUCCAAAAAUGGAUUUGGCCUAAAGUUUCAGGAUAUGUCCGACCAAAGAUUUUACCCACCCAAUAGUAAAAUCCAGCAAAUAAAGCAAAAACGGCUCCCAUAGAAAGUACAUAAUGGAAAUGUGCAACCACAUAAUAAGUAUCAUGUAGAGCAAUGUCUAGCCCAGAGUUUGCUAGAACUAUUCCAGUGAGCCCUCCUAUGGUGAACAAAAAGAUGAACCCUACAGCAAAUAACAUGGGUGUUUUGUAUUGUAUCGAACCUCCCCACAUGGUAGCGAUCCAACUAAAGAUUUUGAUUCCAGUGGGCACAGCUAUGAUCAUGGUAGCUGCGGUGAAGUAGGCACGCGUAUCAACGUCUAAGCCCACAGUAAACAUAUGAUGAGCCCAAACUAGAAAUCCAAGAACACCUAUACUUAUCAUGGCAUAAACCAUGCCUAGAUACCCGAAGACCGGUUUUCUUGAAAAGGUCGAUACGAUAUGACUAAUAAUACCGAAUCCAGGCAGAAUGAGAAUAUACACCUCUGGAUGACCGAAGAACCAAAAGAGAUGCUGGUAUAAUAUUGGGUCUCCCCCUCCUGCUGGAUCAAAAAAGGUUGUAUUAAAGUUUCGAUCGGUUAAUAACAUUGUAAUUGCCCCUGCCAGUACCGGAAGUGAUAAUAAAAGUAGGAAUGCUGUCACUAGAACGGACCACACAAAAAGUGGUAAUCUAUGCAUAGUCAUUCCAGGUCCACGCAUGUUGAAGAUAGUAGUUAUAAAAUUGAUAGAACCUAAAAUUGAUGAAACACCUGAUAGAUGAAGACUAAAAAUUGCUAAAUCAACUGCUCCUCCAGAAUGGCUGGUAAUACCACUUAAGGGCGGAUAGACCGUCCACCCAGUGCCGC
rnacentral:lncRNA from 1 species